rnacentral:rRNA from 1 species
AGUGAACGCUGGCGGUAGGCCUAACACAUGCAAGUCGAACGGCAGCACAGUAAGAGCUUGCUCUUACGGGUGGCGAGUGGCGGACGAGUGAGGAAUACAUCGGAAUCUACUUUUUCGUGGGGGAUGACGUAGGGAAACUUACGCUAAUACCGCAUACGACCUACGGGUGAAAGCAGGGGAUCUUCGGACCUUGCGCGAUUGAAUGAGCCGAUGUCGGAUUAGCUAGUUGGCGGGGUAAAGGCCCACCAAGGCGACGAUCCGUAGCUGGUCUGAGAGGAUGAUCAGCCACACUGGAACUGAGACACGGUCCAGACUCCUACGGGAGGCAGCAGUGGGGAAUAUUGGACAAUGGGCGCAAGCCUGAUCCAGCCAUACCGCGUGGGUGAAGAAGGCCUUCGGGUUGUAAAGCCCUUUUGUCGGGAAAGAAAAGCAGCAGGUUAAUACCCCGCUGUUCUGACGGUACCCAAAGAAUAAGCACCGGCUAACUUCGUG